rnacentral:rRNA from 1 species
GUCUCUUUGUUAUGUAAAGAUAGGGAGUCUGGCCUGCCCAGUGACUGGAAAGUUAAACGGCUGCAGUAUACAUGACUGUACAAAGGUAGCGUAAUCAUUUGCCCUUUAAUUGGGGGCCCGUAUGAAUGGUUUGACGAGGGCACAACUGUCUUUUUGUGAAAUACAUAGAAAUUAUUUUUUAGGUGAAAACUCCUAAGUCUUGUUGGGGGACGAGAAGACCCUAUUGAGCUUUAGUGAUGUUUCUGAUGAUGUCUUAUAGAGUAUUAUAUUGAUAAUUAGAAACGGUUCUUUAGUUGGGGCAACUGAGGGGCAAGCGAAACCCCCUUUAAUAUAAGUGUGGUUGAUAGAUGUUAGAUCCAGUGUGUAUAUACUGAUCUAAAGAAGAAGUUACCAUAGGGAUAACAGCGCGAUUUUUUUGGAGAGUUCUUAUUGAUAAAAAAGUUUGCGACCUCGAUGUUGGACUAAGGUACCCCGAAGGUGUAGCAGCUUUUAGUGGUUAGUCUGUUCGACUAUUAAAAUCUUACG